UAUUAAGUCACUUCUUCUAAACUCUGCUGGUGCACAUUUAAUUUUACAGCUCCAGAACAGGACUUCACAGUUACACCUGAGUCUCAAUAAAUUCAAAGUCUAGAAAAGCCAGGUAAGGCAAAUCUGGCCCUUCCUUCUUUGCUACUCUGACUUCAAACCUGCAACUAGACUGUGGUUUCUCUUCACUGCGUCCCAAAGUCUACUGCCUCCUCUUCCUACUGCUGUCCUAUAUGGACACUUUUCUUUUCCGACUACCUUCAAGUCAUCCUCUUUGGUGUCCUGCAGUACCAAAGAAUUUGUCCAAGUUUCAGUGGCUUAGAUUGACUUCCAGAUCAUUCAUGAUUGGAUUACUGUUCCAAAGAAGGGAAGGCAGUUUAACAGCUCAGCUCUGAGUUUCAA